rnacentral:lncRNA from 1 species
AGGAGAUCUCUGGAGAGUUUGAGAACUGUAAUGUUAAGGAUAUCUGAGCUAAACAAACUUCAUCUUUAGUUACUAGCUUUUGGUUUAACCUUGAAAACCUAUACAGUAGGCUAAAAAGGCUUUUCAUUGAGAAUAAGUUACAUUUCAACUUACUGUGGCACAAGUUAUAUUUUAUUAUGCUGAGGGUCAUCACAUAAUGUUCACACUCUAAAUGCUUAACGACAGUCCUAAGCUUAUCUCCUCAAGGUCCAGUCUAUAGAAAAAGUCCCUGAUUCAAGGGUCAGGAUCCUGGGGAACACUCUUCAGUCACUGGGCAGAUCAAGCUGGCUUCUCUCCAGAGCUUUGCUCUUGGUCUCUGCUGAUAUACUGUGCAGUGGGUCUCACCGGGUUCUAGGGCUGCAUCUGGUUAUCUUGAGCGAGUAAUAUCACUGAAAGCUCAUUAUCAGGUGCAGCCUUGGGUGUAGUGGGGAUCCUGACUAAGCUAUUUUUACAUGUCUAAAAGGCAUUUUUUUCUUUUCCUUUCUUUUCCCUUCUUUCUUUCUUUUUUUUUUUUUUUUACUAUGCAUGGCCCUUCAGUUCCAGAGUCCCAGAGUGAAGUUUCAGUUUUAGAACUUGAGUGGGUGGUCUGAUCUCACUGGACCUUCAGAAAAUAUUAAUUCUACCAGGUGAGAAUAAGACCUCUACUACAAUUUCAAAGCCAAAUUUGAAACUGGUCGGGUUCAUACCCAGGAUUCAGAGUGUGUCCUAAACUACUUUAGUCAUAGGCUAAAGGCGAAAACAAGGCUAUGUACUUCCUGUCUUUGUCCAAUCAGAGUCAAGCAUACAUCCUGAUAUCCUUCCUGCCUAUGUGUAAUCAAAGGCGUCCUGGGCAGUUGGGGCAACCAAGCUUGUUACUUCACACCAACAGCAGCCCCCAGCAUUUCGGAAAGUCAUUUGUCCUUGGGCAAGUGCAGCUUUCUGGUUAGAGGACACUUGUAACUAUGACUUCACUGCUGAAUUGCCAUCACACCGGUUCCUCUGACAGCCUCAAAAAGAUAUCAUCAAAUCUUUGUCACAUAAAACAGUAGAAAGAGCUGCAGCUGGAGCGCGGUGAGGUAGAGGCACACACCCCUCAUUACCUCUGUGCCUGCCUGACCUUCUUGGCUCUACCUCUCAUAGCUUACCGCAUGCCUGUUGGAGACAUGUGGGCCAGUUUGGAGCACAAGGAAGAAAUGUUGGGGAAGGUGAACUUUAGCAAAAGAAGCUAGAGUCAGUCACCUCAGUCAAUGGCAGACCUGUGAGCCUUCUUUUGUUAAUUUAUGCAAAUGGUGCUUAUUCUUAUUACAUAAAAACCACCUAAGGUAAUCUGAGAAUCAAAAGAUUGUGUUGUUUUCUAGUAGUGAAGGCUUUGAUAUACAGCUCCGGAUUUGGCCACAGCUCUGUUUUUUUUUUUUUUGCCUCCAGAAAUUCAAA